GAGAGGUUCAGGGCUUAGCAGAAGAGGCAGCAGCUUCCUCCAAGGCACAAAGCUCCAUGGCCUCCAGAACCGAGGAGAUGCACUGCUGAGGAAAGCAGGACACAGGUCUAACUCCAUCAGUGUGAGCCACUGUGGAUAUCCUGGCUGACCUCCAGCAGGGGUUGUUGAAAAGAAGAAGACACACAGAAACUUCAGUUUAUAAGCCAGACACCACAGGAGAGUAAGCACACAGCAAGCAGAGAAGAGUGGUUCCAA